rnacentral:misc_RNA from 1 species
ACGUUCCAAAACGUAUCAACCAAACGGUUAAGUGCAAACUUAUUCCCUAACGAAGGGAGCUGUACAAAUGUCUUUAGUGAUGGGCGAGUCUUCGGAUUUGCAAAGACAGUUGGACUAGGGUCACGAGCCCAAAGCUCCCUUUUUUAGGCUUUCCCCCCUUUUUUCCAUCACUUCCAUUAACCAUUUUAACCCCUAUGAAACUUAUGACUAAAUCUUUCGAACGAAGAAAUUUGUUUGGAAUUGUAUAUCUAACACUGUACAACUCUUAGCAAUGGAUAUCUUGGUUCU